UAGAAUUCCUCAGUGAAUCGGACAGGAUGC
rnacentral:piRNA from 1 species